rnacentral:lncRNA from 1 species
GCUCUAUUGUUCUGGUUUUCUCCACCCUGUGAGCAGGGAGCUAGAGCCCUCUAAUCCUCAAGCAAGAAUGAGCAUUUUCUCCCUAACUCCUGAAUCUGGAGAUGGGGCCUCACUCUGUGUUUUACUUCUAGAUUAGAGGAAGGUCAUGGCAUUCUAGUUGGUGCUGGUGUCUACACUGUGGAGUCUCAAUACGACAUCAUAGGACCUCCCUACAAAGCCCUGCCUCAAGCUCCUGCUGUUCUCCACUUAGCAUUGACUUCAUUUCUGCCCUGCUCCCAACCCAUCCUUGUUUGGAGCUGUCAGCUUUGGUUCUUCUGUGACUCAGCGCUGAGUUUCAUAUCAGAGUGCUGAGUGGAAAGCCCACACUCCAGAAGCUCAUUAAAAGGGCCAAGUUACAGUACAGGUUUAUUUCUGUCACAGCAUUUCUGAAAACAGUGACAAAGAUUAAUAUGUUUCUUUAGUACUGGAAAAAGCUUGACACAAUCCCUUGUGAAUUUGAUCAUCUGUUUCAUUGCCUGUAUAAGAUUCAAUCUCCUAUUAUAUCCUGAAGUUACAGCUGUAAACUAAUGCUGGUAAGAAUUCAUAAGCUAUUGCAGAAGCCUGGGGCAAAACUAAUUGUUUUAUUCAACAGUCGCUUAUUUAUUUAUUAUUUAUUUCAUACCCUCUCCUGUCAUCUUUUUCCACUGUUCCUCCUCAAAGUCAAGAUUAUCUUGGCUCUUUGUCUGAAUGCACAGUGCAAAUAUAGAGACAUGGGGAGUUCAUGUUUUCAGGAGCUUUCAAAAAAGUUGUUACAGAUCAGUGUAUUGUGGAAAUGUUGUCCACUCUGAAUUUUUUAUAAAACUAUUCUUACUUUCUUUUCCUUGAAAUGGAAAUUCCUUAAGAAAAAGCAGUAUCUGCACAAGCAUUAUAACCUUUGUGUUCUCUGUAAUCAUGUGACAUUAGACUUUCUCUUCUAGUGGUUGCUGUGUCUCUGGGACAUGAUUUGACAUGUGGUACAUGCAAAUCCUAGAAAAGUGCAAACUAUAUCAUAAAAUGAUUCUGUUUCACAUCAAGUUAGACAGGCAAAUAGCUAUUUGCUAUUUUCAAAAAUUAAAAGUUAUGACAAUAUGCUUUAUGAAUACCAUAAAAUAAUCUUUUAAAUUGAGG